rnacentral:rRNA from 1 species
GACGAACGCUGGCGGCGUGCUUAACACAUGCAAGUCGAACGGAAAGGCCCUGCUUUUGUGGGGUGCUCGAGUGGCGAACGGGUGAGUAACACGUGAGUAACCUGCCCUUGACUGUGGGAUAACUUCAGGAAACUGGGGCUAAUACCGGAUAGGAUCUCCUGCUGCAUGGUGGGGGUUGGAAAGUUUCGGCGGUUGGGGAUGGACUCGCGGCUUAUCAUCUUGUUGGUGGGGUAGUGGCUUACCAAGGUUUUGACGGGUAGCCGGCCUGAGAGGGUGACCGGCCACAUUGGGACUGAGAUACGGCCCAGACUCCUACGGGAGGCAGCAGUGGGGAAUAUUACAGAAUGGGCGGAAGCCUGAUGCAGCAACGCCGCGUGCGGGAUGACGGCCUUCGGGUUGUAAACCGCUUUCGCCUGUGACGAGGCGUGAGUGACGGUAAUGGGUAAAGAAGCACCGGCUAACUACGUG